CCACUCAUAACCAUAAGAUAAUUAAAACAAGGGGGGGCAGGGUUAAAAAAAACUUUUACCAGCCAUAGGUUAAUGCAAGUGUUUAACAGAUGCUUCGCUAUUAAAAUAUUUCCCCCCAAUACUGAAGAAUCUCAAACCAGCAACCCUAACGGAGAUUGUGAAGGUUUUCAAAGUGGGGCACCUCGAUUUCUCGAAUCUGUGGUGUGGCGAAUAUCCGUGUUCUUCCGGCUUAACUAGCCUGUUUGUCUACUCCACUAGCAAAGCAUCACACUGGAACCAUCAUCAGUGGAUUGAUUGAAGAGAAACUGCAAGCUUCCUCUGAUCAGUACAAGUCUGAUGAAGUGACAAGAAGCAGUUGAAACACCACCGGAAAUUCUUUGAUAAACUGGUUGACUAUAAAGAAGCAAGAUCUAGUCUUCAUGGAUCUCAGGAACAGAGUUUCCUGGCAUUUCACCAUGUUUCCUCUGUCUUGCUUAUAAUGUACCCUCAAACUAUUUACCCGAAUAAAGAUUUCUUGGAAUGUCUCAGG
rnacentral:lncRNA from 1 species